AAGCAACCCUCUCUGCUCUUACAGCGUAAGAUGUUACGUGAUAACGUUACGCAAAAACGUCACGGAUCAGGAAGGGCCGUUUGUUAACGACAGGACGAAGGGGUAUCAUCAAAAUAAUCAAAGUUCACACUCUGGCAGACAUGUCAUACGGCAAAGCAGAGAGCUACCGCCCUGUCCCACGGGACUUCAACGCCCUCAUACAGACAUGUAGCUCCAACAUCCAGAAGAUCACACAGAACACUGCUCAGAUCAAGAGCAUGGUGAACCAGCUGGGGACCAGUCAGGACACCAGUGAACUCCAGGAUCGCCUGCAGCAGAUACAACAUUAUACCAAUCAACUGGCAAAAGAAACCAACAAGCACCUGAAAGAGUUGGGCUCAAUCCCUUUGCCCACAUCACCCUCAGAGCAAAGGCAGCAGAAGAUCCAGAGGGAGAGGCUGAUGAAUGAUUUCUCAGCAGCUCUCAACAACUUCCAAGCAAUCCAGCGGCGUGCAGCAGAGAAGGAGAAGGAGUCAGUUGCCAGAGCGAGAGCUGGAUCCCGCCUAUCAACUGAAGACGGUUCUCGGGAUGAAAAGCUUGUUUCUUUUGAUAACCAGGAGGACUGGGGUCAGAUGGCCAUCCAGACAGAGGAGGUGGCCAUCACAGAGGAGGACCUGGAGCUUAUCAAGGAGAGAGAAACCAACAUCAGACAACUGGAGUCUGAUAUUUUGGAUGUAAACCAGAUCUUCAAGGACCUGGCAGUAAUGAUCCACGAUCAGGGAGAGAUGAUUGAAUCCCGUCCAAUAAAGGAAGACAUUGUGGAUGUGUGCCAUUAAACGUGCCUCCGUCCCGAUGGAGGGCGAACAACGGCAGCCGUCAAAGAAUACACGUAUUUUCAGCGAACACUUCAUCAAAGGUGUUAAAUCUGACGACCUGUGGUCCCCUAACUGGGAUCCAUCCGUCUCCUCUCACACAGCAACCAAUAAGAGGAUAAAGAGAAAGACAUCGACAUCAUUUCUUACAUGUUAUAGACUAAAAAAUUAAUUGAUUAAUCUAAAAAAGAAUCGACAAUGAUGUCAGUUAGGUUUGAUUCAGUUGGAGCCUUGGAAUAUUAAAUCAUCCAUCUUUGCUCACUGCAUCUGAGCCUUUCUACUCUCAGGUGUGCAGAAGCUACAGGUUAUUUCUACUUUUUUUUUUUUUUUUAAAUACAAGAAUGUAAAAUUUGUUUAUCUUAUCAGUAUUGGUCAUGAGAAGAAGGUAAUAAGCUAUCAUAUCUGCUGAAAAUAUGCAUGUAGAUAUGUCAGAAAGUAUGCGUCCUGUGUUGAAUAAACCUCAUACAUAAACUGUGUGCAGUUUUUUUUUUUUUUCUUUUGUUCAAUUCAAUUCAGUUUGUUUUGUAUAGCCCAGAAUCACAACUUACAAAUUUGCCUCAGAGGGCUUUACAGUCUGUACACAUGCGACAUCCGCUGUCCCGGAACCCUUUUGUUAAACUGUCUCCUGCAUACAGUCGUUUUAUUUACAGCUUUAUAUUUUAUAAUGUGUGGCGUCAAUCUUUAAACAACUAUUGUGAAUGUACCGUCUUUUACAGAUUUACUCCGGUCCGUCGUCAUUAUACAGGACAGGCUCCCCACAGAAACAGGCCUUGCCUUCAGUUCGUUUAGUGGUAUCAUAUGAUGUUGCUAAAAUAGCAGUUGUAAAAACUAUUGUACGCUUUCAUUCUGGCGACAGUAAGGUGAGUUUUUAUCCACAAGAUGGAUGUAAACAUCACUGAAGUUGAGCUCUGGCAGGGACGUGGCGGAUUUAAGUGACUGAAAUACGGCGACAGGCGAUGUCUAUAGAUCGCAAGUGCUUUGAUCUGAUAUCUUUGUUUUUCUUAAAUUGAGAGGUAAUUCAAACAUUUGUGGAUUGAAACAGGAGGGUCCUCAUGGAGAGUCCAGUCCUAACCGCCAUGUUGGCCCUCCAGGUCGCUGCGCAUGUCACGUGACUGAAAACUAUGAAUAAAGUUUCAAUAACUUUUCGAGAAAUGUGGUGGCCACUAAGAUAUUUUGGUGAUCGAUUGGCCGUCCGAGUGAAACUUCCACACCGCCGCAAAACCGUGUUAAUCACCUGAUUUUGGUGUGAAUAAAGCCUAAGUAUGUUAUUUCAUAACUCCCAGCUGACUUGCUGUAUGUUCUGC